UAGGGAAUCUUCCGCAAUGGGCGAAAGCCUGACGGAGCAACGCCGCGUGAGUGAUGAAGGUCUUCGGAUCGUAAAACUCUGUUAUUAGGGAAGAACAAAUGUGUAAGUAACUAUGCACGUCUUGACGGUACCUAAUCAGAAAGCCACGGCUAACUACGUGCCAGCAGCCGCGGUAAUACGUAGGUGGCAAGCGUUAUCCGGAAUUAUUGGGCGUAAAGCGCGCGUAGGCGGUUUUUUAAGUCUGAUGUGAAAGCCCACGGCUCAACCGUGGAGGGUCAUUGGAAACUGGUUGACUUGAGUGCAGAAGAGGAGAGUGGAAUUCCAUGUGUAGCGGUGAAAUGCGUAGAUAUAUGGAGGAAAACCAGUGGCGAAGGCGACUCUCUGGUCUGUAACUGACGCUGAGGCUCGAAAGCGUGGGUAGCAAACAGG
rnacentral:rRNA from 1 species